AUUGAACGCUGGCGGCGUGCUUAACACAUGCAAGUCGAACGCGAAAGGGACUUCGGUCCUGAGUAAAGUGGCGCACGGGUGAGUAACGCGUGGAUAAUCUGCCCUUAUGAUCGGGAUAACAGUUGGAAACGGCUGCUAAUACCGGAUACGCUCAAAAUGAACUUUUUGAGGAAAGAUGGCCUCUGCUUGCAUGCUAUCACGUAAGGAUGAGUCCGCGUCCCAUUAGCUUGUUGGCGGGGUAACGGCCCACCAAGGCAACGAUGGGUAGCCGAUUUGAGAGGAUGAUCGGCCACACUGGAACUGAAACACGGUCCAGACUCCUACGGGAGGCAGCAGUGGGGAAUAUUGCGCAAUGGGCGAAAGCCUGACGCAGCGACGCCGCGUGAGGGAUGAAAGGUUUUCGGAUCGUAAACCUCUGUCAGAAGGGAAGAAACUACGUUGUGCUAAUCAGCAGCGUACUGACGGUACCUUCAAAGGAAGCACCGGCUAACUCCGUGCCAGCAGCUGC
rnacentral:rRNA from 1 species